AACCAACGCUGGCGGCAUGCCUAACACAUGCAAGUCGAACGAGACCUUCGGGCCUAGUGGCGCACGGGUGCGUAACGCGUGGGAACCUGCCCUUAGGUUCGGAAUAACUCCCCGAAAGGGGUGCUAAUACCGGAUAAUGUCUUCGGACCAAAGAUUUAUCGCCUUUGGAUGGGCCCGCGUUGGAUUAGCUAGUUGGUAGGGUAAAAGCCUACCAAGGCGACGAUCCAUAGCUGGUCUGAGAGGAUGAUCAGCCACACUGGGACUGAGACACGGCCCAGACUCCUACGGGAGGCAGCAGUGGGGAAUAUUGGACAAUGGGCGAAAGCCUGAUCCAGCAGUGCCGCGUGAGUGAUGAAGGCCUUAGGGUUGUAAAGCUCUUUUACCCGGGAUGAUAAUGACAGUACCGGGAGAAUAAGCUCCGGCUAACUCCGUG
rnacentral:rRNA from 1 species